GUUUCCCUCUGACACUCCAUGACCACGCGUGAAGAACAGCUGCAAGAUUUAAUAUCGAAAAAUAAAUUUCACAAAGCUCCCAAGCCCAGCUGGACACAGAGAGAGAUGGAGACAGAAAGACACAUGAAUGAGGGAGAGACAGAGAGGGGCAGAAAGAAGUUGAGAGUGAAUGAGAGACUGUGAGACAGGGAGAGGUUGAGAGUGAUGGGGGGGAAGCAGAGAGCAGAGGUUUUUGUACAGCCUCUGCACUGGGAACUCUCACUGUGGGACACGUUCGGUAAAGGAACCAAGCUCAGACUGAGCCGUGAGAACUCUCAGCCCAAGCUGACCUUGCUGCCCCCCUCCCCGGAGCAGGUCAAUGCCAAGGGCACUGCCACCCUGGUGUGCCUUGCCAAUCACUUCUAUCCCGAUGAGCUGGAGGUGCAGUGGAAGAAGGACGGUGCAGUCAUUUCGGACGGGGUUCAGACCAGCAACUACCUGCGAGCUUCAGACAGCACCUACAGUGUCAGCAGCCUGCUGACCCUCUCUGGGUCUGACUGGGAGUCCGACGCUCGCUUCUCCUGUGCCCUCACCCACGUGACCCUCCCCUCUCCCCUCAGCAAGAGCAUCAGGAGAUCAGAAUGUGUGUAGAGUGUUGGAGACAGUCCACAGAGGAGACACAACUUUAAACAGAACAGGGCUGAGCUGGCAGGACAAAGGUCAUUGUCAGCACUGAAUUUCAACUCUCUUCCUUCUCAGGAUUGCUCAGAGAAACUUCUGAGGUUUGGAUAUUAAAGCAGGUCAUCGCGACAGUGUCAAGAGAGCUUUACACUGUGUCAAACCCCAUGCUGUCCUUGUCCUGGGAAUGUUUGAUGGGGACAGGAUUGCCUUGUUAUGUUAGCUGCACAAAACAAUGUGAACCUCAGAAGUCUCUGCUUCAGUAAACCAGAUCUCCUUCCUGCUCAGCUGCCAG